UACGUAGGGUGCAAGCGUUAAUCGGAAUUACUGGGCGUAAAGCGUGCGCAGGCGGUUUGCUAAGACAGGUGUGAAAUCCCCGGGCUUAACCUGGGAACUGCGCUUGUAACUGGCAAGCUAGAGUGUGGCAGAGGGGGGUGGAAUUCCAGGUGUAGCAGUGAAAUGCGUAGAGAUCUGGAGGAACACCGAUGGCGAAGGCAGCCCCCUGGGCUAACACUGACGCUCAGGCACGAAAGCGUGGGGAGCAAACAGG
rnacentral:rRNA from 1 species